rnacentral:rRNA from 1 species
GUGGCGAACGGGUGAGUAACACGUGAGCAAUCUGCCCUUGACUCUGGGAUAACUGCGGGAAACUGUAGCUAAUACCGGAUACUUUCCUCGCUGGGCAUCCAGCAGGGAAGAAAGAAUUUCGGUCAAGGAUGAGCUCGCGGCCUAUCAGCUAGUUGGUGAGGUAAAGGCUCACCAAGGCGACGACGGGUAGCCGGCCUGAGAGGGUGACCGGCCACACUGGAACUGAGACACGGUCCAGACUCCUACGGGAGGCAGCAGUGGGGAAUAUUGCACAAUGGGCGAAAGCCUGAUGCAGCAACGCCGCGUGAGGGAUGAAGGCCUUCGGGUUGUAAACCUCUUUUAGCAGGGAAGAAGCGAAAGUGACGGUACCUGCAGAAAAAGCACCGACUAACUACGUGCCAGCAGCCGCGGUAAUACGUAGGGUGCAAGCGUUGUCCGGAAUUAUUGGGCGUAAAGAGCUCGUAGGCGGUUUGUCACGUCUGCUGUGAAAAUCCGAGGCUCAACCUCGGACUUGCAGUGGGUACGGGCAGGCUAGAGUGCGGUAGGGGAGAAGGGAAUUCCUGGUGUAGCGGUGGAAUGCGCAGAUAUCAGGAGGAACACCAAUGGCGAAGGCACUUCUCUGGGCCGUAACUGACGCUGAGGAGCGAAAGCGUGGGGAGCGAACAGGAUUAGAUACCCUGGUAGUCCAC